UAGAGUUUGAUCCUGGCUCAGAUUGAACGCUGGCGGAAUGCUUUACACAUGCAAGUCGAGCGGCAGCGCGGUCUUCGGACUGGCGGCGAGCGGCGAACGGGUGAGUAAUACAUCGGAACAUGCCCAGUCGUGGGGGAUAACACUUCGAAAGAAGUGCUAAUACCGCAUACGUCCUGAGGGAGAAAGCGGGGGAUCGCAAGACCUCGCGCGAUUGGAGUGGCCGAUGUCAGAUUAGCUAGUUGGUGGGGUAAAGGCCUACCAAGGCAACGAUCUGUAGCUGGUCUGAGAGGAUGAUCAGCCACACUGGGACUGAGACACAGCCCAGACUCCUACGGGAGGCAGCAGUGGGGAAUUUUGGACAAUGGGGGCAACCCUGAUUCAGCCAUUCCGCGUGAGUGAAGAAGGCCUUCGGGUUGUAAAGCUCUUUCGGCAGGAACGAAACGGCGAGCUCUAACAUAGCUCGCUAAUGACGGUACCUGAAGAAGAAGCACCGGCUAACUACGUGCCAGCAGCCGCGGUAAUACGUAGGGUGCGAGCGUUAAUCGGAAUUACUGGGCGU
rnacentral:rRNA from 1 species